UACAGAGGGUGCGAGCGUUGUCCGGAAUCACUGGGCGUAAAGGGCGCGUAGGUGGCGCAACAAGUCAGUGGUGAAAGUUCGACGCUCAACGUCGAGUCGGCCACUGAGACUGUUGGGCUUGAGCACUGUAGAGGCUAAUGGAAUUCCGGGUGUAGCGGUGGAAUGCGUAGAGAUCCGGAAGAACACCGGUGGCGAAGGCGGUUAGCUGGGCAGUUGCUGACACUGAGGCGCGACAGCGUGGGGAGCAAACAGG
rnacentral:rRNA from 1 species